GACGAACGCUGGCGGCGUGCUUAACACAUGCAAGCCGAACGGUGAAGCGCUUUCCUUUUUGGUUGGUGUGGAUGAGUGGCGAACGGGUGAGUAACACGUGAGUAACCUGCCCCCUUCUUCUGGAUAACCGCAUGAAAGUGUGGCUAAUACGGGAUAUUCUGCGCCUGCUGCAUGGUGGGUGUGGGAAAGAUUGUGCCUUUGGGUGUUUUCGGUGGGGGAUGGGCUCGCGGCCUAUCAGCUUGUUGGUGGGGUGAUGGCCUACCAAGGCGGUGACGGGUAGCCGGCCUGAGAGGGUGGACGGUCACACUGGGACUGAGACACGGCCCAGACUCCUACGGGAGGCAGCAGUGGGGAAUAUUGCACAAUGGGCGCAAGCCUGAUGCAGCGACGCCGCGUGAGGGAUGGAGGCCUUCGGGUUGUGAACCUCUUUCGCCAGUGAAGCAGGCCUGCUCCUUGUGGGUGGGUUGACGGUAGCUGGAUAAGAAGCGCCGGCUAACUACGUG
rnacentral:rRNA from 1 species